rnacentral:lncRNA from 1 species
GUAUUAGGUGGACUGGAGAAAGAGGCCCGCGUGAAUUAAGUGUAGUUCUCUUAUGCACUGGCGGACUCUGGUCGCCCUUCCUUGUGAAGGCUGCCUGGGUAGCCGUAGAGGACGAGGCCACUCUAAAGCCUCGUUUUCCCAGCGGAAUUUUAACUAUUCUAAGGAUGUCCUUACAGCCAGUUCCCCACUCCGCUACUCAGAGUGUGUCAGACUUUACCCUGUCCAUUCAACUCCAGAAAAACCGGGAGGUCUAGAUUCGGAAGAUUAAAUUUACCUUUGAAUUAGGACAUGUAAAAUAGGAAGUUAAUAUUAGCAUCCUAAUGACAAAAGUUUUCUCGUUAUCAUACUUGACUCAAAUGGGAAUCUUACGGAUAUUAAUGUUUUUUCCAGAAACAGGUUUGAAAGGUAUUUCAAGGAUAAAUCUGGGGAAAGGGAUGGAAGCAACUGAUUUUUAAUUUUUAGAUAGUACUCUCAGAGCAUUUAUUUAGUCCAAAACUGUUAAUUUAAUGAAUUAGGCUAAACUAGACGCUGGGGUAACAAAGCUGAGUUAGAUACCCUCUCCUCUGAGGCAGCUAAAGAGAAGGAAAGUCUGGUGGCUGACAAGUAAACCAACAGUUAUGUUC